GAUGAACGCUGGCGGCGUGCCUAACACAUGCAAGUCGAGCGAGAACCGCUGGAAUGACACUUCGGUAGAAUGAAAGCGGGGAAAGCGGCGGACGGGUGAGUAACGCGUAGGUAACCUGCCCCAUACACAGGGAUAGCCUAGGGAAACCUGGAUUAAUACCUGAUGAAGCAACUGGUCGCAUGACCGGCUGCCAAAGAUUUAUCGGUAUGGGAUGGACCUGCGUCUGAUUAGUGAGUUGGUGGGGUAAUGGCCUACCAAAAGCGACGAUCAGUAGCCGACCUGAGAGGGUGAUCGGCCACAUUGGAACUGAGACACGGUCCAAACUCCUGCGGGAGGCAGCAGUGGGGGAUAAUUGCACAAUGGGCGGAAGCCUGAUGCAGCAACGCCGCGUGAGCGAAGAAGGUCUUCGGAUCGUAAAGCUCUGUCCUGGGGGAAGAAACAAAUGACGGUACCCCGGGAGGAACGCCCCGGCUAACUACGUGCCAGCAGCCGCGGU
rnacentral:rRNA from 1 species